UCAAUCACCUUAUAGUUAGGUGUUUUGUGUGUGUGUGUGUGUGUCUGUAGUCUUUUGCUAUUAUCUCUAUUAUCUCAAAGUGCUGGACCAACAUUAUUUUGUUAGGAGUUAUACUUCUGAAAAAAUUUAACAAACAACAGAUACUAAGUUUAAAAAGGUAAAAUACAAAGCAAGAUUAAUACUAAUAUGACCAUCUCAGUUUGCAUAAUGGUUUUGCAUAAUAGACCUAAGUUUGAGAGGCAACCAAUAGAAUAAAUCAAAUAACCAUGGGGAAUUAGGUGAGACCUGUUGUAACCAUGUGGCCUAUCUUCUUAUUUUGUAUAACUU
rnacentral:lncRNA from 1 species